AGCAACGGAAAAGCGCCUGAGCUCUCGGAGAACUUCUUCGGGAGCUGACGAGGAUGGGGUUUAUCGAGUUUUCGGCGGAUGCCCCACGGUGGACUGCCACCGUAAGAGGCCUACAAAACCGGUGAGCGAUCGCCGGGACAAAGGGGUCCUCAGCAGAAU
rnacentral:ncRNA from 2 species